rnacentral:rRNA from 1 species
GUGCCAGCAGCCGCGGUAAUACGUAGGUGGCAAGCGUUAUCCGGGAUUAUUGGGCGUAAAGCGCGCGUAGGCGGUUUUUUAAGUCUGAUGUGAAAGCCCACGGCUCAACCGUGGAGGGUCAUUGGAAACUGGAAAACUUGAGUGCAGAAGAGGAAAGUGGAAUUCCAUGUGUAGCGGUGAAAUGCGCAGAGAUAUGGAGGAACACCAGUGGCGAAGGCGACUUUCUGGUCUGUAACUGGCGCUGAUGUGCGAAAGCGUGGGGAUCAAACAGGAUUAGAU